AACAAUGAUGAGAUACUUGCAGACGGGCGGUCUGAAAUUGAUGUCGUGUUGAUUGUCUGCCAUAAGCUACAUAAGCAUUCUCUGAGU